rnacentral:rRNA from 1 species
GGAACGAACGCUGGCGGCAUGCCUAAUACAUGCAAGUCGAACGAAGGCUUCGGCCUUAGUGGCGCACGGGUGCGUAACGCGUGGGAAUCUGCCCCUUGGUUCGGAAUAACAGUUGGAAACGACUGCUAAUACCGGAUGAUGACGAAAGUCCAAAGAUUUAUCGCCAAGGGAUGAGCCCGCGUAGGAUUAGCUAGUUGGUGAGGUAAAGGCUCACCAAGGCGACGAUCCUUAGCUGGUCUGAGAGGAUGAUCAGCCACACUGGGACUGAGACACCGGCCAGACUCCUACGGGAGCAGCAGUACGGAAUAGUGGACAAGUGGGACGAAAGCCUGAUCCGAGACAAGUGCCG